UGGGGAAUUGUUCGCAAUGGGCGCAAGCCUGACGACGCAACGCCGCGUGGAGGACGAAGGCUUUCGGGUCGUAAACUCCUGUCGUGCGGGACGAAGGGCGCUGGGGUGAAUAGCCUCGGCGUUUGACGGUACCGCGAAAGGAAGCCCCGGCUAACUCCGUGCCAGCAGCCGCGGUAAUACGGGGGGGGCAAGCGUUGUUCGGAAUUACUGGGCGUAAAGGGCUCGUAGGCGGCCCGCUAAGUCAGACGUGAAAGCCCUCGGCUUAACCGGGGAACGGCGUCUGAGACUGGCGGGCUUGAAUCCGGGAGAGGGAUGCGGAAUUCCAGGUGUAGCGGUGAAAUGCGUAGAUAUCUGGAGGAACACCGGUGGCGAAGGCGGCAUCCUGGACCGGUAUUGACGCUGAGGAGCGAAAGCCAGGGGAGCAAACGG
rnacentral:rRNA from 1 species